rnacentral:rRNA from 1 species
GGGUUGUGAGGUUAAGCGACUAAGCGUACACGGUGGAUGCCCUGGCAGUCAGAGGCGAUGAAGGACGUGCUAAUCUGCGAUAAGCGUCGGUAAGGUGAUAUGAACCGUUAUAACCGGCGAUUUCCGAAUGGGGAAACCCAGUGUGAUUCGUCACACUAUCAUUAACUGAAUCCAUAGGUUAAUGAGGCGAACCGGGGGAACUGAAACAUCUAAGUACCCCGAGGAAAAGAAAUCAACCGAGAUUCCCCCAGUAGCGGCGAGCGAACGGGGAGGAGCCCAGAGCCUGAAUCAGUGUGUGUGUUAGUGGAAGCGUCUGGAAAGGCGCGCGAUACAGGGUGACAGCCCCGUACACAAAAAUGCACAUACUGUGAGCUCGAAGAGUAGGGCGGGACACGUGGUAUCCUGUCUGAAUAUGGGGGGACCAUCCUCCAAGGCUAAAUACUCCUGACUGACCGAUAGUGAACCAGUACCGUGAGGGAAAGGCGAAAAGAACCCCGGCGAGGGGAGUGAAAAAGAACCUGAAACCGUGUACGUACAAGCAGUGGGAGCCUCUUUAUGGGGUGACUGCGUACCUUUUGUAUAAUGGGUCAGCGACUUAUAUUCUGUAGCAAGGUUAACCGAAUAGGGGAGCCGAAGGGAAACCGAGUCUUAACUGGGCGUUAAGUUGCAGGGUAUAGACCCGAAACCCGGUGAUCUAGCCAUGGGCAGGUUGAAGGUUGGGUAACACUAACUGGAGGACCGAACCGACUAAUGUUGAAAAAUUAGCGGAUGACUUGUGGCUGGGGGUGAAAGGCCAAUCAAACCGGGAGAUAGCUGGUUCUCCCCGAAAGCUAUUUAGGUAGCGCCUCGUGAAUUCAUCUCCGGGGGUAGAGCACUGUUUCGGCAAGGGGGUCAUCCCGACUUACCAACCCGAUGCAAACUGCGAAUACCGGAGAAUGUUAUCACGGGAGACACACGGCGGGUGCUAACGUCCGUCGUGAAGAGGGAAACAACCCAGACCGCCAGCUAAGGUCCCAAAGUCAUGGUUAAGUGGGAAACGAUGUGGGAAGGCCCAGACAGCCAGGAUGUUGGCUUAGAAGCAGCCAUCAUUUAAAGAAAGCGUAAUAGCUCACUGGUCGAGUCGGCCUGCGCGGAAGAUGUAACGGGGCUAAACCAUGCACCGAAGCUGCGGCAGCGACGCUUAUGCGUUGUUGGGUAGGGGAGCGUUCUGUAAGCCUGUGAAGGUGUGCUGUGAGGCAUGCUGGAGGUAUCAGAAGUGCGAAUGCUGACAUAAGUAACGAUAAAGCGGGUGAAAAGCCCGCUCGCCGGAAGACCAAGGGUUCCUGUCCAACGUUAAUCGGGGCAGGGUGAGUCGACCCCUAAGGCGAGGCCGAAAGGCGUAGUCGAUGGGAAACAGGUUAAUAUUCCUGUACUUGGUGUUACUGCGAAGGGGGGACGGAGAAGGCUAUGUUGGCCGGGCGACGGUUGUCCCGGUUUAAGCGUGUAGGCUGGUUUUCCAGGCAAAUCCGGAAAAUCAAGGCUGAGGCGUGAUGACGAGGCACUACGGUGCUGAAGCGACAAAUGCCCUGCUUCCAGGAAAAGCCUCUAAGCAUCAGGUAACAUCAAAUCGUACCCCAAACCGACACAGGUGGUCAGGUAGAGAAUACCAAGGCGCUUGAGAGAACUCGGGUGAAGGAACUAGGCAAAAUGGUGCCGUAACUUCGGGAGAAGGCACGCUGAUAUGUAGGUGAAGCGACUUGCUCGUGGAGCUGAAAUCAGUCGAAGAUACCAGCUGGCUGCAACUGUUUAUUAAAAACACAGCACUGUGCAAACACGAAAGUGGACGUAUACGGUGUGACGCCUGCCCGGUGCCGGAAGGUUAAUUGAUGGGGUUAGCGCAAGCGAAGCUCUUGAUCGAAGCCCCGGUAAACGGCGGCCGUAACUAUAACGGUCCUAAGGUAGCGAAAUUCCUUGUCGGGUAAGUUCCGACCUGCACGAAUGGCGUAAUGAUGGCCAGGCUGUCUCCACCCGAGACUCAGUGAAAUUGAACUCGCUGUGAAGAUGCAGUGUACCCGCGGCAAGACGGAAAGACCCCGUGAACCUUUACUAUAGCUUGACACUGAACAUUGAGCCUUGAUGUGUAGGAUAGGUGGGAGGCUUUGAAGUGUGGACGCCAGUCUGCAUGGAGCCGACCUUGAAAUACCACCCUUUAAUGUUUGAUGUUCUAACGUUGACCCGUAAUCCGGGUUGCGGACAGUGUCUGGUGGGUAGUUUGACUGGGGCGGUCUCCUCCUAAAGAGUAACGGAGGAGCACGAAGGUUGGCUAAUCCUGGUCGGACAUCAGGAGGUUAGUGCAAUGGCAUAAGCCAGCUUGACUGCGAGCGUGACGGCGCGAGCAGGUGCGAAAGCAGGUCAUAGUGAUCCGGUGGUUCUGAAUGGAAGGGCCAUCGCUCAACGGAUAAAAGGUACUCCGGGGAUAACAGGCUGAUACCGCCCAAGAGUUCAUAUCGACGGCGGUGUUUGGCACCUCGAUGUCGGCUCAUCACAUCCUGGGGCUGAAGUAGGUCCCAAGGGUAUGGCUGUUCGCCAUUUAAAGUGGUACGCGAGCUGGGUUUAGAACGUCGUGAGACAGUUCGGUCCCUAUCUGCCGUGGGCGCUGGAGAACUGAGGGGGGCUGCUCCUAGUACGAGAGGACCGGAGUGGACGCAUCACUGGUGUUCGGGUUGUCAUGCCAAUGGCACUGCCCGGUAGCUAAAUGCGGAAGAGAUAAGUGCUGAAAGCAUCUAAGCACGAAACUUGCCCCGAGAUGAGUUCUCCCUGACCCUUUAAGGGUCCUGAAGGAACGUUGAAGACGACGACGUUGAUAGGCCGGAUGUGUAAGCGCAGCGAUGCGUUGAGCUAACCGGUACUAAUGAACCGUGAGGCUUAACCUUACAACGCCGAAGGUGUUU